UGUUUUGUGGCGUUUUCUCUUUUUCAGAGUUGAACAAUGUCCGACCACCAACACGUGCCCGCAUGUCCCAGAGCCCACUGGAGAGUAAAGGCAACCUGACGUACGCCGUCUUAAUGGGAGCAGCCUUCGUUGGUACUCUGACACUCAUUAUGACCGUAAAAGGAGACAAUCAAAGAAAUGCGAAACGUAUGGAAGAGAUCUCAACCAGUCUUCAAAGAUCAACCUCACACUUCGAGUCAGAGUCCCCGGGUGCCGCUGUUUCCAAGCCCAAGCCGAGCCCCCCCGCCUGAGGCAGCAGCACCUGAGGGUGAAGCAUCAGCUGCAGACCCCAGUGAAACCAGUGAGCCACCUACAGACGCCGCACCUCCCUCCCACAAGCUGCCCUCACACACCCCCUACUAGAGCUGGGCAAUAUGUUCAAAAUUUAAAUCACGGUAUUUUCAACAUUUUCACCGGUUUCACUGUAUUUGACGGUAUUUUUCUUUUCAUCGCAGCUGAACUGAUA